UAACAAAGGGAAGCUAAGCCGCGAGGUGGAGCAAAACCCAAAAAAAGACAGUCUCAGUUCGGAUUGAAGGCUGAAAUUCGCCUUCAUGAAGCCGGAAUUGCUAGUAAUGGCAGGUCAGCAUACUGCCGUGAAUACGUUCCCGGGCCUUGUACACACCGCCCGUCACACCAUGAGAGUUGGGGAUACCCGAAGCCUGUGAGCUAACUUUUAGAGGCAGCAGUCGAAGGUAGAAUCAAUGAUUGGGGUGAAGUCGUAACAAGGUAAC
rnacentral:rRNA from 1 species